AAAGGCACUUCAUAAUUAAUUUCAACAAGAUUGUUUUUCAAUCCAGGCACAUUUUCUGCCAAGAAACCCACUACAGUAGUUAUGAGUCCUAUUGCACUGCUGUCUUACAGAUUGAGGUUACAGUCUUCUUUGUAUUCUUUUACUGAUAGUAAAGGUGUUCAAAAAAUUAUGGAAGACAUUACCUUAUGCUACUCAAAACAAAGACAAGACUCACUACAUAGGUAAGAGUUCAGCCUCUUUCCCCCUUUCACACUAGUUACAAACAGAUCACAUAAAAUAAGAGUGUAUAUAUAUAUAUAUAUAUAUGUAUGUAUAUAUAUACGUAUAUAUGAAUAUUCCAACCUCCUAAUGAAAUUUUCAGUUCCCUCAGAAGGGUCCCAUGGAUGUAAUUACAGACAAGGCACUUGUAAGGAAUAUGCAAUAAAGCAUAUCUUAUUUUCAGGUGGGAGUAUUUCUGCAAAGUGGAGUAUUUGUAUUCUAAAAGUUAAAAUCUCUUAAGGGAAGCACCGACUUCAAAGCAUUGGCUGAAAUGAAAUUGUUUUCACAUUAGUUAUUACCUGACCUGAAAUUAGCUAUUAAUUUUAAGGCACAUAAAUUAAUGGCAGAAUUAACAGAGCCAAUGACAGUGAUUUGGGUUCAGAUGAUCAGAAGGCACUAUUGCUUCUUUUUUUCCUUUCAUACCCGUGGUCUGAGUGUUUUUAUCUUGAUUUCACAUGUUUUCUGUAUUCAGGUGAAAGAGCUUCUGUUCAGCUAUGUCUGCCACCAAAUUCAUAUUACAGUCUCGAAGAGCCUUUAUUAGGUCAGCCACCUUCGCAUCUUUCCCCUUCCAUUUCUGCCACUCUCGAAGCGACUGAAACAAUUGCUCUCGUAAAUUAUUUGGCUUGGCUACCAUUAUUCUCUCCAUUCUCACAUCAGAAAAGUCAAGUUUUCGCAUCAGCAUUUUCCAGUCUCUCCCAACGUUCUCGCAUAUAACUUCGAUAACUACCUUCUGCAAACGUCUUUCCUUCAUGUCAG
rnacentral:lncRNA from 1 species